AGUGAACGCUGGCGGUAGGCCUAACACAUGCAAGUCGAACGGCAGCACAGUAAGAGCUUGCUCUUACGGGUGGCGAGUGGCGGACGGGUGAGGAAUACAUCGGAAUCUACUUUUUCGUGGGGGAUAACGUAGGGAAACUUACGCUAAUACCGCAUACGACCUACGGGUGAAAGCAGGGGAUCUUCGGGCCUUGCGCGAUUGAAUGAGCCGAUGUCGGAUUAGCUAGUUGGCGGGGUAAAGGCCCACCAAGGCGACGAUCCGUGGCUGGUCUGAGAGGAUGAUCAGCCACACUGGAACUGAGACACGGUCCAGACUCCUACGGGAGGCAGCAGUGGGGAAUAUUGGACAAUGGGCGCAAGCCUGAUCCAGCCAUACCGCGUGGGUGAAGAAGGCCUUCGGGUUGUAAAGCCCUUUUGUUGGGAAAGAAAAGCAGCAGGUUAAUACCCCGCUGUUCUGACGGUACCCAAAGAAUAAGCACCGGCUAACUUCGUG
rnacentral:rRNA from 1 species